GGGGUACUCGAGCGGCGAACGGGUGAGUAACACGUGAGUAAUCUGCCCCUGGCUUUGGGAUAGCCACCGGAAACGGUGAUUAAUACCGGAUAUGACCACUUGAUGCAUGUUGGGUGGUGGAAAGUUUUUCGGCCAGGGAUGUGCUCGCGGCCUAUCAGCUUGAUGGUGAGGUAAUGGCUCACCAUGGCUUCGACGGGUAGCCGGCCUGAGAGGGUGACCGGUCACACUGGGACUGAGACACGGCCCAGACUCCUACGGGAGGCAGCAGUGGGGAAUAUUGGACAAUGGGCGAAAGCCUGAUCCAGCAACGCCGCGUGAGGGAUGACGGCCUUCGGGUUGUAAACCUCUUUCGGUAGGGACGAAGCGCAAGUGACGGUACCUACUAAAGAAGCACCGGCCAACUACGUGCCAGCAGCCGCGGUAAUACGUAGGGUGCGAGCGUUGUCCGGAAUUAUUGGGCGUAAAGGGCUCGUAGGCGGUUUGUCGCGUCGGGAGUGAAAACCAGGUGCUUAACACCUGGCUUGCUUUCGAUACGGGCAGACUAGAGGUAUUCAGGGGAGAACGGAAUUCCUGGUGUAGCGGUGAAAUGCGCAGAUAUCAGGAGGAACACCGGUGGCGAAGGCGGUUCUCUGGGAAUAUCCUGACGCUGAGGAGCGAAAGUGUGGGGGAGCGAACAGGAUUAGAUACCC
rnacentral:rRNA from 1 species